CUUGGUAACAGUGGCUGGCUGGGGACAGUGAGGACUGAACAGUGGAAGAUGGGCCCCGGGUCUGGCACAUACGGGCACUCGGAGAAGCGUCCGUGAGGCCGUCAUGGUGUGGCAGUCGGUGUUCCCUGUGAGUAGCGACGACAUCAGCAGGCGUUCCUUGGACAUUUGCAGUGUGCCAGGCCCUCACCUGAGUUGGAUCCCACAACAGUCCUAUGAGGAAGGCGCCUACUGUGUGUCAAUGCCCAGGACAGUGAGAGGAGAGACAUGGUCACGCCUCCAGGGCUCUGCAGAGGAGCAGGAGGGGCAGACAGUCGGGAGGCCAUGCCCAGG